CUGUCUGCCAGAGGGGCGCUCGGCCGCGUCGGCCGCGUCCUGGGGACUACAAGUCCCAGCGGCCCGUGCGGGCCCGACCCUGUUCCCGUGGUGGGGGUGGGAAGGGACGCAGAUUUGUCUCUCCGAGCGUGGCUCCAGCAGGAGGACAUGCUGGGGACUCUCACAGGGCAGAGUCUGGGGCCGUUCGGCAUCCCCGCGGAUGCACAGGGCACCGUUGCUCAGUCCCGGCACCGGUCGCGGGACCGGGAGAGGGCACCUGCGCCCCGCGCGCUCCCAACCUGCGCCCCGCGCGCUCUCAACCUGCGCCCCGCACCGCAGUGGCUGGUGCUCGGCUCUCCGCCCCUCCGCCCCUCCGCCCCUCCGUCGGUCGUUCCAGCGUGCGCGCCGCGUACACCCCGGCGUCCUGCGCGUCUGCGCCGGCGGCAGCCUGAGAUCGCGCUCCCGGGCGGCGGGAACCCGGCCUGUCGCGUCCCGGGCGACAGGGACGGGGAGUGGCGUCCCGGGUAGGUGAGGAGUACAGAAGAGGAGACCGUCAUCUAGUCCCGGAGUGGCUCUCAGCAGAGGUCUCCUGGAAGAGAGACAGCGAUGCCCAUUUUACAGAUGCAGAAGUUGCACAUCAGAGGGUUGAAGUACCAUUUCCAAAGUGGCCCAGCUACCGAGGAGGUAGAGCUGUGCCUGUGAUCCUCCCCACCUCGAAAGACCUUGCACUGAGCCACAGCCUUCAGGCACCACCAGAAGACAGACAUCCUCCCGAAUGGAUGGGAGGAUGACUCGUGGGUGGAAUGGAGUCGUGGCUUCGCAAGGACAUCUCAUCCCGCAGGUGGAUGAGUGCAUAUCCCGGGAAGCUCUGCUCUCUUACCUAUUCCUGUUCCCACCGUCUUGGGACGCUUCGUUUCAGUUUUAUCUAGAAGACAGAAUUCUUUAUUCAGGUUUUCAAUUUAAACAAAUUAAAAUAAAAUUUCAAACUCUAUACAUUAUUUACAAAGGCAUGCCCAUGUAGUAAAAAAAUAUAUAUAAAACUAUGCACAGAAAUAACAUGAACUUCAGGGCAGAAGGUUCUACUGGGAAGGGGGAAAAUCAUGGGAUUAAUGUUGAGAAGGAAAGAGGACUCUCUUUUUAAAAAUCUUUAUUUGUGGAAAGAAAACAGCUUGGAACAAAUAUGACAAACUAUAAACAAGUCUAACUCCAGGCUGUGGAUAUGGGACUAUCUGUUAUUUGAUUGUUACUUCUAUUAGGCAAUAUUUUUCAGAUUUCUCAAAAGAAAGGAAAUUCUUAUCAGGUCUCUUGUUGGGUCAUGGGAGGGUUUGCUGAGUUUUGGGUCUAUCUAGGGAACAGAACAGAAAGAAAAGGCAAGUGUAUUUGGAAGUGUCCGGACCCCACUCAGGGACCCCAAGACUCACGGGUGGCGGGUGUGAUAGUGAAAUUUCUGUGUCAACUUGACUAGGCUACAGUACCCAGUUACUUGGUCAAAUACCAGUCUGGACCGGUUGCCAGGAAGGUGACCCCAGAAACUAAUAUAAUGCUGCAUGUUCACUACACUGGAGUUAAAAUAAAAGAAAUGCAAUCUUAACUAAAAUUCAUUUUUAAAAACAGACGUAAUUAACACUAAGUCAGGAGAGUGUAAGUAGAGCAGAUUAUUCCCCAUAAUAUGGGUGGUCCUCAUCCAAUCAGUUGAAGGCCCAAAGAGAAAGACCGAUCUCCUUUGAGGAUGAAGGAAUUCUGCUUCCAGCUGCCCCCAGACUCAGCAUCAGCUCUCUUCCACGUGUCUACUCUGCCGACCACAUGAGUUGCCUGGGGACGCACAGCUACUGUGCUGGCUGCGAGUGGACCAAAGCAGAAGAAGCACAUCCCUGAGACCAUCUGAAGACCCCACCUCCUCCCCCAGCCUCAUGCUUCAAAAAAGGCAGCAGGCCUGGGAUGUGUGCUCACUCCGGGCCACUGUGUCCUCUGUUCCGGAUGGUAUCACCCGCAGCUCUUCGCCUCUGUCCUACGGAGCCACACCAUCAAGAAGUGGGACAGUUGGACUCAACCCCCUCCUGUCUACUCACUCUCUCCUCCUGCCCCUGCCAGCUGCCUUCUGCUCUCUGCAAACCAGAGACUGCACUGAUCUCAUUCCAGCUUCAGAGAUGGUGAGUAAACCCCACAAAUCAUCAGGAUCCUAGGGUCUGGCUCUGAAGAAAUCACUGGGAAACUGGAGACAAACCAUACUUCGGAAUAAAAGGGAAAAAACCUGGAACACCACAAGUGACUUUGAAGGAAGGCAACGAUGCCAGUAUUCUGAUCUCCCCUCACCCCGAAGGCUGCUCCCCCUCACCCAGAGCACAUGUGGCCACCUACAGUGGGAAGCCCUCAACCAGCCUCUCCACCUUCUGUGCUCCAUCUUGGCAGAAGAUCCUCCAUACUGUUCUGCAGAAUCCCAGCCCUCCCUUGGUUCUUUCUCAAGAUUUCUCCAAGCUGCAGAGUCUCAUGGAGACAGACUGUGCCCACACCGCACUCCCUCAGGUCCCAGCUUCUCAGCAGCAGAUAAUCCAGGGACCCUGUGGUUACACUGUGACCACUCAGAUAAUCCGGAAGAGCCUCCUCCUUUAAGACCAGCUGAUAAGCAACUUCAGUUCCACCUGCCACCUUGCAUUUCCUUACGUGGUCUCGGGUGGAAGGGGGCUCUUCAGGAGAACUCGAGGAGCUGUAUUCUACAUCUAGUGGUGGUGUAGACAGUGAGAGACAACCCAGAUGGCCGACCCAGGCGACGGGCAGGGGCUGAUGUGCACAUGGAAAAAUCUAGAAGUCCCUUCUUCCCACUGCCCCCACCCUUGCCAGGACCUCACCUGUGACCAGCAGUUCCAGCGUAUCACUGGGGUGAGACCAGACACCCAGAUUCCAGCC